rnacentral:misc_RNA from 1 species
GCAGGUAGGAGCCUGGCAGUUUUAUAACACUACCAUGUCGUUGAUUUUUGCUUUUUAGUAGUUUUUAAUCUGUGGGUUCAGUUUGAUUCCGAAAUCAGAACUCGUAAUGGGAGAAUUUUUCUUGUCGUCACUGUUACUAGCAUCAUCGGAUUGAAGAUUAUUGGAAUAAUGAACAUCAACAUUAAUAUCUCCAUUUGGUUGUUAAUCCCAGUUUAUUUUGUUAUUUUCCUUUUUAGUAUUCUGAAUAGUUUUGGCGUUGAGUUUUGUUUCGUCGUUUACUCAACACUACAAGUGUGACUUAUUGUGGUGUUUAGGGGAUAUUUUCUUUAUCUCAUGAGACUUAAAUUUUGUUUCUUGUUUUAAUUGCGGUUGACUUGGCAUUUGGGUCAUAGACUUGUAACUUUUUUUUGGUUGAUGCAUGAUAAGGAUAUAGUUAUAGUUGCUAUUUGAACUGAGAACUAGAAGUUUUGAUAGCCUGAUAAGUAUUAUCGAAUUGUUAAGUUUUGUGAGAUUUAGUUGAUAUUCGAUUAUAGGAAUAGGAAUGGUGUUUGGUUUCUGAAUUUUAUUUAUGUUUGAAACGGGCACUAGAAAUGCUGGGAUUCUUUUGGGCAUUUAUCUGCACAGAGACACACGUGAUUGACUAAUAAUGAGUUUCUGAAGGUUGAUUUGUAUGGUUUUCAUUGAAGAAUUGAUAUCGGUGAUGGUUUUGCUUUAACAAUUUGAAGUUAUCCAAAUACAGAUGGUUUUUGCUGAAAUGUACGAUUUUAUGUUUUCAAACACAGCUAGUACAUACUCAGAAUAAAUAUUAUCUUAGGACAAGUAAAUAUUAACUCAAAUUAAUUUCUGUGAAUGUCAGUGACAUGAAAUGAAAGACUUUAACUCUGAUGAGAAUUUUUUAUGGAUAAACUGGUGACUUAUAUGUGAGUAAAUUGUUUUGUUUCUUGGACUUUAAAAUGUCGGGGAGAAGUUUUAGGAUAUUUAGUUGCUUAUGUGCUAGGGCUGGUCUGGUGAUCAUGAUUCGAAAGAUAAAGAGAAUGAAGUUCAUAAAUAAGUUCGGCUUUGUAAUGUUCUGUAUUCAUUGUUGGCUUGGAUGCUCUAACAUGUGGAGAUAUGCAGCAGAGUAUAUUUUAUGUGAGCAAUAUGGAGAUUUUUAUGGAAACCAGAUUUUAAAAAAAAAGAAAGCGUUUGCUUUUGAGGGAGAUUUUUGUCUAUCCUUUCAGCACUCUCUAUUUGAGAAACUAUGCAAGUGAGUCUUUACUAGAGUUCUUUCUUGGUAUUAUUACUAUCAUUUUUCAUGACUUGGCUCUUCAUCUUCAGAAUAGGCAACAUAAUCACUUUACUUGGAGGGUAUAGUGUGUUGUUUGAUGGGAAUGAAAUAAAAGGUGAAACUAGAUUUGUAGAGGAAAUAAUUUUUGGGAUUUAUUGAUUUUGAGAGUUAAUAGAUUGGCCUGUGUGUGCUCUCAAGGUGACAGGUUAAAGUCUUUAUUUUAGCAAAAUUAUGUAUACUGGGUGGUUUGAUUGUUUCAAAAUGCUUUGAAGUUGUUGCUUUUGUUGUAUUAGCUUGAUUAUUUUUUAGGAGUUACUAUUGUUGAAGGUGCUGCUACUAGUUCUUUUCGAAGUAACAUUUCAUUCUCUAAUUGUGAAUAUUCCUUUUCUUGUCGUGGGUUAUAAUUUUAUUGCAAAUUUAUGUGGGUUUUUCAAGAAACAUUUUUUCCUUGGUGAUCAUUUAAAUGCAUAUUUAUUUCAAAAAUAGCAUAUUAGGAGUGGAGAUAUAGAGAAGAUAAUGGAUGGGUGAUUUUGGUUAAAUGUAGGAGUGGCUUGAUAGCUGAUAAUUUGUAGUCCAUGGUUCCAUUGUGUACAUGGAUGUUUCAAUGGCCAAAAAAGGCUAAAGGAAUUUUAUUCGUUCAACCUUGUUGACAUGAUUGUUUGUGUUUAGUGAGUGAUCACAUGCUGUAGCAUUGUAGCGUUUGACUGAUCACCUAAGCUAGCCUCAGCAAUUUCUGCUUCCGUGAUGACGCCAAGCAAGUAUUGAGAUGGUGAAGCUUUUAUCUCUUCUUAUGCUGUUAAAGAAUUGGUUCUUGUAAUGUGCAAUUAAAAUAAAAAGGACUUUUGCCCACUGAAUGAUGUAAUUCAGACACAGUUGAGAUUUAAUCAAGAAUUAAUGCUUGUAUUUUUCUGGUUCAAAGAUGAUUUGUUGGCAAUCUUGAUCUUGUUCUUUAGGUGUUUGUGCUGAAAUAUUUUAUUGCCUUGGUAAUUCCAAAAUUUGAAUGUGACCAUGGGGCUCAGGGAUUCAUAUACUUCAAUGUGUAUUUUUUUUAUCAAUUUGAUGUGAGUGGAUAUGAGAUAUUGGCAAUGGAGGCUGGAUUAUUUGUCUACUUGGAUAGUUGUGGUAAUCUCUUAUGAGAAACUAUUGCAGUCUUCUGCUUAAGCCCUAUCCAGCUAAAAGACAGUCUUAGGAUUAAAUUUGUAGCUUUAGGGAAGAGUUGUUUUGGGUUAUGGCUGACUGGUUAAAGAGAAAGUUCUGAUAAUACGGGCAUAGUGCUGAAGCUUUGGCCUGCUUGUGUGAGAACAUCAUAAACUAUAAUUUUUUAAUUGAUUAUUUUCAUGCUGCAGGGCACUCAAGGAAGAGAAAUACGCUGCUCGCAGAGCAAUAUUACCUGUACUUCAAGCUGAAGAAGAUGAAAGAUUUGUCAAAGAGUGGAAGAAGUAUCUGGAGUAUGAGGCAGAAGUAAUGAAGGACGUGCCUGGUUGGAAAGUUGGUGAGAAUGUCUACAAUUCUGGGAAAUGGAUGCCCCCAGCAACUGGUGAGCUGAGGCCAGAUGUCUGGUGACACAAUGGUGUCAGUGUGCAUGUUUAAUUGUCAAGACUCAAGACAUUGUGAUUCUCCUCAUCCAAGUUUCUUUUGUCACUUGGUGUUGUUUCUUUUUUCAUGAAAUAAAAAAUUUAGCCGAUAAUCGCCUCAUAUGCACUGAAAAUACUACCAACAGAAAUUGUUUUAUUUUCUUUCGUUACCAUAUUCCCAUCAUUGUCUGAAAAUUUUAAAGAUAAAAGAUGUCUUCUUUGGCAGUGGAUGCAUCUUAUUGAGGCUAGGCUUCUAAUGAUUCCUGUAAUAGGUUGUGGGAAAAUUGCGUUGUGCCGUGGUUCCUUGUGGAUGUUGAAACUUUCUGAUCGUCUUCUGAUAAUUUGUUUUUGGGCAUUUGUCAACUUGAGAAUUGUGAAAGCCAAAUCUGGUGGGGUUUGGGAUAGCGAGUCAAUCUGAUGGAUAUGAAUUACCCUACUUGAUUAAAGAAGCCUCGGACGUUAAAUGCUAGGCUUCCAUCCUAGUGACUCAGUGAUUGCGUAUUUGAAGUACAGAGAUUGCAGUAUAAGGACCGCAACCUUGAGGUAAGGUUCCAAGUUUUCAGAUGGUCACCACUGUAUAUGGUUGGUCUUAUGUGUUUAUGCUCAGAUACUUGGAGCUGAGAUUUUUUCAGAUCCUAAUAAUGUAGUUAUUCAAACAGAAUUUAUAAGACGAGCAUAUUCAUUUUAUUUUGG